rnacentral:rRNA from 1 species
ACUCCUACGGGAGGCAGCAGUAGGGAAUCUUCCACAAUGGGUGCAAACCUGAUGGAGCAAUGCCGCGUGAGUGAAGAAGGUCUUCGGAUCGUAAAGCUCUGUUGUUAGAGAAGAACACGUGCUAGGUAACUACUAGCGCCUUGACGGUAUCUAACCAGAAAGUCACGGCUAACUACGUGCCAGCAGCCGCGGUAAUACGUAGGUGACAAGCGUUGUCCGGAUUUAUUGGGCGUAAAGGGAGCGCAGGCGGUCUGUUUAGUCUAAUGUGAAAGCCCACGGCUUAACCGUGGAACGGCAUUGGAAACUGACAGACUUGAAUGUAGAAGAGGAAAAUGGAAUUCCAAGUGUAGCGGUGGAAUGCGUAGAUAUUUGGAGGAACACCAGUGGCGAAGGCGAUUUUCUGGUCUAACAUUGACGCUGAGGCUCGAAAGCGUGGGGAGCGAAUAGGAUUAGAAACCCCUGUAGUCCCA